GACACCUUAACCUGACAGCAGGUACUAUUGGAAGCCGUCUUUUCGAAGAGAGAGGGAUGCCUACUGUCCCCGUUCCUCGGACAGGUCAUGGUGGCCGUAAAUACAUGCUGGCCAUCCCCACCCCCUCACAUAUAGAGCUAUGUGAUGAACCCUAACCCCCUGAAGAGGUUCCAUAGACCCCUGAGGCUCCACAGAUCAGUUUUAAAACUACUGAAUUAGAACUAAAAUGUGACCCCUCUGCAUUACUAAAUGGGUCAGGUCACCACAGAGCACUGAGUAGAGUUCCCUGAACUACGCAGAAGAGGUUUUUUUAGAAGAGCAUCUAUGGGGGCUUCCCUGGUGGCGCAGUGGUUGAGAAUCUGCCUGCUAAUGCAGGGGACACGGGUUCGAGCCCUGGUCUGGGAAGAUCCCACAUGCCGCGGAGCAACUAGGCCCGUGAGCCACAACUACUGAGCCUGCGCGUCUGGAGCCUGUGCUCCGCAACACGAAGGCCACGAUAGUGAGAGGCCCGCGCGCCACACCGCGAUGAAGAGUGGCCCCCGCUUGCCGCAACUAGAGAAAGCCCUCGCACAGAAACGAAGACCCAACAUAGCAAUCA